GAGAACAUUAUCUUCGGAUAAUAAGUAAACUGGCGAACGGGUGAGUAACGCGUAAACAACUUGCCUCAGAGAUUGGGACAACAUUGGGAAACCAGUGCUAAUACCAAAUAAUGCAGCGGGCUCUUCGGAGCACAGUUGUUAAAGUAGGCUUCGGCUUACACUUUGAGAUAGGUUUGCGUCCGAUUAGUUAGUUGGUAGGGUAAAAGCCUACCAAGACCAAGAUCGGUAGCUGGUCUGAGAGGAUGAUCAGCCACACUGGAAUUGAGAUACGGUCCAGACUCCUACGGGAGGCAGCAGUAAGGAAUUUUGCACAAUGGGCGAAAGCCUGAUGCAGCAACGCCGCGUGAACGAUGAAGUUUUUAGGAAUGUAAAGUUCUGUCGUAUGGGAAGAGAUCUUUCGAAUGUUAAUACCAUUCG
rnacentral:rRNA from 1 species